GCUCAAAGUCGUUCGGCAGUCGGUCAAUCCGUCGCGAACGCUACCUCCCCUCUCACUUCUCCCCUCCAACGCUACGAAGCACCAUUUCACUCCUCACUUCUCUUCUCCCCCAAAUCUCUCUUCGCCCACGCGGCGGAGCCGCCGGCGACGGCGUGGAGGAGAUGAUGUUGGUAGCUGCCCAUGGAGGGGCCGCGCUGACGCGAUGAGGGCCCGACGGCCAGCCACGGAUCCAAACCAGAUCCAUGGAGCGACGGGCGGUGGCGCGAUGGCAGAGCUGUGCAGAGGGUGGAGGCGCAACCAUGGCGUCGUAUGCGAGGUCGGCGUGUGGGGUGGGGGAUCUGGGCGAGCUCCGCCGCCAUCUGCCACCGCCGCCGUCCCCGCCAACCCGCACGGCAGGAUCCCGAUCCCCGCUCCUCUUCCGCGUCUGUCGUCAAGGUCAGACGCAUUCAGCCACCCCCCUCCUCUCCCCUUUUAUGCUAUAAGUCUAAGAUAACACGCGGGCCUCUUUCUGGUGGAUGAAUUCGUGGUGUUCCAGGAGGAGCAGCGCCGGACGCUGGGAGGUCCAGUAGCCGGGGCCGCGGAGGAGCCGCGCCGGCCGCCGGUAGGUCCAGUAGUCGGGGCUGCGGAGGAGCCGCGCAGAGCGCCGGGAGGUCCAGACCAGAAGCCAUGGCCGCUGGUGCGUGUGUGCUAUUCCUGCCGCUGGUGCGUGUGUGCUGUUCCUGCCGCUAGUGAAUGCGGGUUGUUCCUGCUAUGGGGAAAGGCCCGUUGGGGCGAUGGAGAGAGGGCGUUCGCGCUGUUGGGAGCGAUGCUUAGUGUUCGGGCUGGGGCUCCUCUCGUCCCGAACUAAUUCGUUCGAUCGAUGCCCAGAUUCCUCCGGAACGAAUCGUUCGGUGUGGGGAGGUCCCAGACCGAACGUUCGGCCGUUAUCGGCGUCCUAUAUAUUUUUGAAAGGAAACCGAGCAAUAUCUCAUCAAAUAAAGUCAAAUGGAGCAACUUCCCUUUCGGGUGAAACUUUACGAGAGUAUCCAAGUCGCAAGACAGCUCGGGAGGGCACGGCCGAGGCAGCCGAGGUGACUGGGAGCUAUCUUGUGCGCUCCCGCACCCAGGCGACCAACAGGAGGUUGCGGGGUGGCCGGAGCAAUGGCUUGACUGCUUCGUGGGAGCGCUCAUGGUAGGUGCAGUCUACAUAGGGUCAGGGUCGGCAUGGGCGAGAGAAAGGGGUAGGGAAACCUUGGCAUCACAGAGUUCUCCCACAUUCCCGAAAUGAAAGAGAACUAACAAGGACACAACAAUUAUUAGCUCGAGCUCAAAAUGAGCCCGUAUAAACACUAAAAUCAUAAAAAAUGUUUUUUAAUCUGAUUUAUUUUUUCUAUGAAACAUUGACAAAAGUUUCGAGUGCUUGUAAAAUUUCAUCAUGAAAUCACAUUCUGGAAGUGGUGGUAAAAAAUAAACUAAUGCUCCAAAAAUGGUAUAGUCGAAAGCAUUUUUUUGCUGCGGCUUCCACGAAUGUCAUUUCAAAUUGAAUAUUUGCAGGCUGUUAAAACAUUUGUUAAAGUUUACCACACAAUUUUUUAGAAUUCUUUGAAUGUUUUUUCACCUUUUUCGAAUUUACUGUUCAUGCGAGCUCAGUUGAGCUCGUGAGC
rnacentral:rRNA from 1 species